ensembl:lncRNA
CUGCUGACCUUCUGUGAGUUUGAGAAAAGCUAUUAUUCAAAACAUCAAGUACUGAAAUGUUUGAUAGGAUAAGAGUCUCUAUGUGACAGUGUGACACGCUUAAGUAUUUUGGUCUUUGUGUUUUUAGAGAGAAUAUGCGUGCUGUUGUAGAGCAUUGCUUGUAGACCUGAUAAUACCUACAGUACAUCUGUUACUGAUCUGGUGUGGAUAGGAUGUCACAUUAGUUCAAGUGGAAGCGGCGGACUUGAGAGAGGUGUUUGUGUGGUGCAGCUUGAGAGAGGUGUGUGUGCAGCUUGAGAGAGGUGUUUGUGUGGUGCAGCUUGAGAGAGGUGUUUGUGCAGCUUGAGAGAGGUGUGUGUGCAGCUUGAGAGAGGUGUUUGUGUGGUGCAGCUUGAGAGAGGUGUUUGUGCUGGUGAAGUGUACCGUAACA